rnacentral:rRNA from 1 species
UACGUAGGCAGCAAGCGUUGUUCGGAGUUACUGGGCGUAAAGGGUGCGUAGGCGGCUUUUUAAGUUUGGUGUGAAAUCUCCUGCUUAAACCGGGAGGGUGCGCCGAAUACUGAGAAGCUAGAGUACGGGAGAGGAAAGUGGAAUUCCUGGUGUAGCGGUGAAAUGCGUAGAUAUCAGGAGGAACACCUGUGGUGUAGACGGCUUUCUGGACCGUAACUGACGCUGAGGCACGAAAGCGUGGGUAGCAAACAGGG